GACAUACUCCCUCCGUUCGGAAUUACUUGUCGCAGAAAUGGAUGUAUCUAGACGUAUUUUAGUUGUAGAUACAUCCAUUUCCGAGACAAGUAAUUUCGAACGGAGGGAGUGGUAU
rnacentral:pre_miRNA from 1 species